rnacentral:ncRNA from 1 species
CUGUCACAACGGCUUCCUGACGUGGCAGUGAAUCUUACCGGAGCA